rnacentral:misc_RNA from 1 species
UUUCCGUAGGUGAACCUGCGGAAGGAUCAUUGAUUCCAUCGUAUCCACACCGAGAACAACCCCAUGUUGGCCUGGCUGCCAUAGGUUCACCCUUUGACAGUCACCUGCAGCCCGGCUGGCUUGCCAGCCCGACUGUGGGGGCCGGGUUCACACCUGGCCGGCUGUUUCUCUCACUCAAACCAAUAUCUGAAGGCAAUUGCUUGCUCACACGAGCGGCGACUAACAAAGACAACUCUCAACAACGGAUAUCUUGGCUCUC